GUCGCAGCAGCCAGGUACUUGGUGGAGCCAGUUUGCAUGGAUUAUCGCGCUCACUAGCCAGUACACGUAACAGGUAGAGCCGUAAAAUCAUAUGGAAUCAAAUCAAAUAUACUUUGGAUACAUUUCUAACGGUGUAGACUAAAAAGAAAUACCACUACAGCCAGAAGUGAUACCUCCUAGCCAUUUUGUUAGCAGCAGCCGCUGUAAACGUGGGCUAGGAAAGGACGGACGACGGAUCCAGUCUAACACACAACGUCGAUACUACAACGAGCCAGUUUACUACCAGAGACAUUCUUCCGAGGACAGGAAGAUCUCUGUUGGGCAACACGGCCAGCAUCUAAGACCAACCUACCGAAGCGCAGCUCAGAGCUUCCCGCUCUUUCACUCAAACCCAACCCCCUUUCCUUUGUGUAACCAGCCGUCACAUGUCGGCUCCGUCCACCAGGGACGUUUUCU
ensembl:lncRNA